CCUACGGGAGGCAGCAGUAGGGAAUAUUGCUCAAUGGGGGAAACCCUGAAGUAGCAACGCCGCGUGGAGGAUGAAGGUUUUCGGAUUGUAAACUCCUUUUGUUAGAGAAGAUAAUGACGGUAUCUAACGAAUAAGCACCGGCUAACUCCGUGCCAGCAGCCGCGGUAAUACGGAGGGUGCAAGCGUUACUCGGAAUCACUGGGCGGAAAGAGCGCGUAGGCGGGAUAGCAAGUCAGAUGUGAAAUCCUAUGGCUUAACCAUAGAACUGCAUUUGAAACUGUUAUUCUAGAGUAUGGGAGAGGUAGGUGGAAUUCUUGGUGUAGGGGUAAAAUCCGUAGAGAUCAAGAGGAAUACUCAUUGCGAAGGCGACCUGCUAGAACAUAACUGACGCUGAUGCACGAAAGCGUGGGGAGCAAACAGGAUUAGAUACCCCAGUAGUC
rnacentral:rRNA from 1 species